UACGAAGGGUGCAAGCGUUAAUCGGAAUUACUGGGCGUAAAGCGCGCGUAGGUGGUUCAGCAAGUUGGAGGUGAAAUCCCCGGGCUCAACCUGGGAACUGCCUCCAAAACUACUGAGCUAGAGUACGGUAGAGGGUAGUGGAAUUUCCGGUGUAGCGGUGAAAUGCGUAGAUAUCGGAAGGAACAUCAGUGGCGAAAGCGACUGCCUGGCCCAAUACUGACACUCAUGUGCGAAAGCGUGGGGAGCAAACAGG
rnacentral:rRNA from 1 species